rnacentral:rRNA from 1 species
UACGGGGGGGGCAAGCGUUGUCCGGAUUUAUUGGGCGUAAAGAGCUCGUAGGCGGUUCGAUAAGUCGGGUGUGAAAACUCUGGGCUCAACUCAGAGACGCCACCCGAUACUGUUGUGACUUGAGUCCGGUAGGGGAGUAUGGAAUUCCCGGUGUAGCGGUGAAAUGCGCAGAUAUCGGGAGGGACACCCGUGGCGAAGGCGGCUCUCUGGGACGGUACUGACGCUGAGACGCGAAAGCGUGGGGAGCGAACAGG